rnacentral:rRNA from 1 species
UUUAAGGUCUAACCUGCCCAAUGAGGAUUUAAAUGGCCGCAGUAUUUUGACUGUGCAAAGGUAGCAUAAUUAUUAGUUUUUUAAUUGAAAGCUUGUAUGAAGGGUUGGACGAGAUAAAAUCUGUCUUUAUUUAAAUUAAAGUAAAAUUUAACUUUUAAGUCAAAAGGCUUAAAUGUUUAUAAAAGACGAGAAGACCCUAUAGAUCUUUAUUUAUUUAAGAUUUUAAUAAUUUAGGAUUAUUUUAAUUUGAAGUUUUAAAUAAAUUUUAUUGGGGUAAUAUAAAGAUUAAAUAAAUUCUUUUUAUUUAUUACAUUGAUUUAUGAAUAUAUGAUCCAUUAAUAUUGAUUAUAAGAUUAAGUUACCUUAGGGAUAACAGCGUAAUUUUUUUGGAGAGCUCAUAUCGAUAAAAAAGUUUGCGACCUCGAUGUUGGAUUAAAAAUUAGCUUGGGUGCAGAAGUUCAAGAUUUUGGUCUGUUCGACCAUUAAAUUUUUACAUGAUCUGAGUUCAGACCGGCGUAAGCCAGGUCGGUUUCUAUCUUUAUUUAAAUAAAAUGUUUUAGUACGAAAGGACCAAAUAUUUAAUAUAGUUAUAUUUAUUUAUUGAAGAAUAUU